rnacentral:piRNA from 1 species
UGGGGUUGUCGUGAAGAGAUGAACAGGAU